CAAAACUCGUACCUUUUGCAUCAUGAUUUAGCCAGAACAUCCAAGCAAAGAGCACUUUAGUUUGAUGCCCCGAAACUAGUGUGAGCUACUUCAAGACAGCCUGUUUACAGGGCAAACCCGUCUCUGUGGCAAAAGAGUGGGAAGAGCUUCAAGUAGCGGUGACAGACCUACCGAACCUAGUUAUAGCUGGUUGCCUAAGAACUGGAUAGAAGUUCAGCCUCCCGGCUUCUCCACAAGCCGUGAGAGUUAGUCAAAGGGGGUACAGCCCCUUUGAAUCAAGAUACAACUUUUCCAGGAGGGUAAAGAUCAUAUUAAACCAAGGCAGAAUGUUUAGGUGGGCCUAAAAGCAGCCAUCCUUAAAGAAAGCGUUAAAGCUCGAACAUAAUACUGAUAACCAAAUCUCAACCCCCUAGUCUUAUUAGGCCUUCCUAUGCCCACAUAGGAGUGAUAAUGCUAAAAUGAGUAAUAAGAGAGCCCUCUCUCCCCGCACACGUGUAAAUCGGAACGGACCCCCCACCGAAACUUAAACGGCCCCAAACAAAGAGGGUACUGAAUAACCACUAGAAAAUCAUUCACCGUUAACCCUACACUGGCGUGCCCCUCGGGAAAGACUAAAAGAAAAAGAAGGAACUCGGCAAACAAGCCUCGCCUGUUUACCAAAAACAUCGCCUCUUGUAAAAUAAGAGGUCCUGCCUGCCCAAUGACACACUGUUCAACGGCCGCGGUAUUUUGACCGUGCGAAGGUAGCGUAAUCACUUGUCUUUUAAAUGAAGACCUGUAUGAAUGGCAAGACGAGGGCUUAACUGUCUCCUUUUUCAAGUCAAUGAAAUUGAUCUCCCCGUGCAGAAGCGGGGAUAACUACAUAAGACGAGAAGACCCUAUGGAGCUUUAGAUGAUGAAACAGACCACGUCAAAGCAACCCUAAAUAAGGGACUGAACUAACUGGCCACUGUUUUUAUGUCUUCGGUUGGGGCGACCAUGGGGAAAUAAAAAACCUCCACGUGGAAUAGGAGCACUCCCAGAAUUAAGAGCUACAGCUCUAACUAACAGAAUUUCUGACCAAAAAUGAUCCGGCAGUGCCGAUCAACGAAUCAAGUUACCCUAGGGAUAACAGCGCAAUCCCCUUUUAGAGCCCAUAUCGACAAGGGGGUUUACGACCUCGAUGUUGGAUCAGGACAUCCUAAUGGUGCAG
rnacentral:rRNA from 1 species